rnacentral:rRNA from 1 species
GAGUAACACGUGGGUGAUCUGCCCUGAACUCUGGGAUAAGCCUGGGAAACUGGGUCUAAUACCGGAUAUGACCUUGCAUCGCAUGCUGUGUGGUGGAAAGCUUUUGCGGUUCAGGAUGGGCCCGCGGCCUAUCAGCUUGUUGGUGGGGUAAUGGCCUACCAAGGCGACGACGGGUAGCCGACCUGAGAGGGUGAUCGGCCACACUGGGACUGAGACACGGCCCAGACUCCUACGGGAGGCAGCAGUGGGGAAUAUUGCACAAUGGGCGCAAGCCUGAUGCAGCGACGCCGCGUGAGGGAUGACGGCCUUCGGGUUGUAAACCUCUUUCACCAGGGACGAAGCGUGAGUGACGGUACCUGGAGAAGAAGCACCGGCCAACUACGUGCCAGCAGCCGCGGUAAUACGUAGGGUGCGAGCGUUGUCCGGAAUUACUGGGCGUAAAGAGCUCGUAGGCGGUUUGUCGCGUCGUCUGUGAAAUUCUGCAACUCAAUUGUAGGCGUGCAGGCGAUACGGGCAGACUUGAGUACUACAGGGGAGACUGGAAUUCCUGGUGUAGCGGUGAAAUGCGCAGAUAUCACGAGGAACACCGGUGGCGAAGGCGGGUCUCUGGGUAGUAACUGACGCUGAGGAGCGAAAGCGUGGGUAGCGAACAGGAUUAGAUACCCUGGUAGUCCACGCCGUAAACGGUGGGUACUAGGUGUGGGGCUCAUUUCACGAGUUCCGUGCCGUAGCUAACGCAUUAAGUACCCCGCCUGGGGAGUACCGGCCGCAAGGCUAAUACUCAAGGAAUCGACGGGGGC